CUACGGGACGCACCAGUGAGGAAUAUUGCACAAUGGGGGGAACCCUGAUGCAGCAACGCCGCGUGGAGGAUGACGCAUUUCGGUGUGUAAACUCCUUUUAUAUGUCAAGAAAAUGACGGUAGCAUAUGAAUAAGCACCGGCUAACUCCGUGCCAGCAGCCGCGGUAAUACGGAGGGUGCAAGCGUUACUCGGAAUCACUGGGCGUAAAGGACGCGUAGGCGGGUUGGAAAGUCAGGUGUGAAAUCCUACAGCUUAACUGUAGAACUGCACUUGAAACUUCUAAUCUAGAGUAUGGGAGGGAGAGAUGGAAUUAGUGGUGUAGGGGUAAAAUCCGUAGAUAUCACUAGGAAUACCUAAAGCGAAGGCGAUCUCCUGGAACAUUACUGACGCUAAGGCGUGAAAGCGUGGGGAGCAAGCAGGAUUAGAUACCCGCGUAGUC
rnacentral:rRNA from 1 species